rnacentral:lncRNA from 1 species
ACAAUAGAACCUUCGACUCUAGCCUCAUUUUUUUCAUUCUUCUUGAGAUUGUGCAUAUAUCUUUCAAAUGGAUACAUCUACCUUUAUUGCACUGGUCCACCGACCCUAGCUUCAUAUGCCACAUGAAUCACAAGAUGCUCCAUGGAGUUGAAGAAAUUAGGAGGAAAUAUCUUCUCUAACUUACAUAAAGUCUCUACACUACUAGCCUUAAGACUGAAGAUG